rnacentral:rRNA from 1 species
UGCCUUUUAGACUGGAACAACUUACCGAAAGGUGAGCUAAUGCCGGAUGAGUUAUAUAAGUGCAUGUUUAUAUAGGAAAAGUUGGGGAGACCUGACGCUGAAAGAUGGACUCGCGUCCCAUUAGCUAGUUGGUAGGGUAAUGGCCUACCAAGGCGACGAUGGGUAGCCGGCCUGAGAGGGUGGCCGGCCACACUGGGACUGAGACACGGCCCAGACUCCUACGGGAGGCAGCAGUGGGGAAUUUUGCGCAAUGCUCGUAAGAGUGACGCAGCGACGCCGCGUGAAUGACGAAGGCCUUCGGGUCGUAAAGUUCUUUCGACAGGGAAGAAAAUGCCUAUAAGUAACUGUGUAUGUAUUGACGGUACCUGUAUAAGCAGCCCCGGCUAACUUCGUGCCAGCAGCCGCGGUAAUACGGAGGGGGCGAGCGUUGUUCGGAGUGACUGGGCGUAAAGAGCACGUAGGCGGUGUUGUAAGUCAUUAGUCAAAGACUAGAGCUCAACUUUAGUAAGGCUAGUGAUACUAUAAUACU